rnacentral:lncRNA from 1 species
AGAUUUGAGUAUCACCUAGCACUGUUUCUGCUUCAGAAAUGGAAGUAGAACUCUGAAGCUAAAUCAGAGGACUCCAAGCAAAUGAAGUGACUGAAAGCAAGAAUGGCUCAUUGCCCUUGAGCUACACAGAAAUGUAUAGGUGGGACUCUUGGGCUCCAAGAAAUGCAUCUUCACAUAAGGAACUUCACAUACUUAUGCUGAGCAAUGAGAGAGAUAUUUUGAAGAAACCUGAAAAAAUAAGAGGACUUUGAGUUUUCAGUGCUCUGGAAAUGGCAAAAAGAGGAAUCCCACUGUGGACGACCUGCUCCGUGCUCCAGCCUGGCCAGUGCUUUGAAGUGAUAACACCAAGAGUUGCUGUUUAGGAAGGCAAGGAAGAAACAUCAGUGUCUCGUCUAGCCUCAGAAAAAAACGACUUCCUAUUUUUACUACUGUUAUGAAUCCCUCACUCAUGGACACCUUUGUGACGUGACUUCCAAGUUGCUAUUCUAUUUUCUGGCUGGAACCUGCAAACUCCAAUCUGGAAGUAUAUCUCUUUAGGGAAAGGGAAGGAAGACCAGAACCAGUGUUUAUUAAACACCUACUAAAUGUCAAAUUUACUAUGCAUAGCUCUACAUAUACUAUAUAAAUUACCCAU